rnacentral:rRNA from 1 species
CCUACGUGAGGCAGCAGUAGGGAAUCUUCCACAAUGGGUGCAAACCUGAUGGAGCAAUGCCGCGUGAGUGAAGAAGGUCUUCGGAUCGUAAAGCUCUGUUGUUAGAGAAGAACACGUGCUAGGUAACUACUAGCGCCUUGACGGUAUCUAACCAGAAAGUCACGGCUAACUACGUGCCAGCAGCCGCGGUAAUACGUAGGUGACAAGCGUUGUCCGGAUUUAUUGGGAGUAAAGGGAGCGCAGGCGGUCUGUUUAGUCUAAUGUGAAAGCCCACGGCUUAACCGUGGAACGGCAUUGGAAACUGACAGACGUGAAGGUAGAAGAGGAAAAUGGAAUUCCGAGGGGAGCGGGGGAAGGCGUAGAUAUUUGGAGGAACACCAGUGGCGAAGGCGAUUUUCUGGUCUAACAUUGACGCUGAGGCUCGAAAGCGUGGGGAGCGAACAGGAUUAGAUACCCAAGUAGUC